rnacentral:rRNA from 1 species
AUGCAUUCACAUAUAGAUAGCUUAUUUGCAUUGUUCAAAAAACUUUGUAGUCUCAAUGAUGAUGCAUACAUGUCAAUGAUGGGUGUUGGCUCCAACAAUUCGCAUUGGUCUCAAACCAAUGACAUGCAUUUCGAAGACCAUGAGUUCGAGGUGGACGAGGAGGGUGAGGGCAUUGUCGACGCACCGAAAGGAAGAACGGGCAAUUACACCAACGUUGAUGACAUCUUACUAUGCAAUACUUGGUUGCAAGUGUCGAGGGAUCCAUCCGUUGGAGGUGAUCAAAGUAGAGAUGCUUAUUGGGGGCGGAUGAAAGAACACUUUGAUGUUCACAACUUGAGUGGAAUUGACCGCUCCGAGAGAUCACUUCGGUCCCGAUGGUCGACAAUCAACUCGGAUUGUCAAAGGUGGGCGGCCUGUCAAAAGGCGGUUGACAAGUUGAACCCAAGUGGCACAAAUGAGGACGAGGACGAAGACGAGGACGAGGAAUGA